GGCUUGUUGAGGACUGAUGUAGUGAACAUGCGUGUCGAUAGCCCCAGCUGUGGCAAUAAGGCCUUCGCCUGAGAUAACUUCAGUAAUCGUGCCUAUAAUUAGUCCCGGAGUAACACCCGGUUGAACAUGUGGAUUACCCGCCUUUCCUAUACCUUUUAUCUUUCCAUCUUUUAUGCCAAUAUCGGCUUUGUAAAUACCUUUGUAAUCUAUGACCAGCGCAUUCGUAAUGACUAGGUCGAGCACCUCUUCAUCUUUAAAACCUGAUGCUUGGCCCAUGCCAUCGCG
rnacentral:sRNA from 1 species